rnacentral:rRNA from 1 species
UACGUAGGAGGCAAGCGUUAUCCGGAAUGACUGGGCGUAAAGGGUGCGUAGAUGGUUGAUAUAAGUCUUUUGUAAAAAUGCUAGGCUCAACCUAGUAGGGCAAAAGAUACUGAUGAACUAGAGUACGGCAGAGGCAAGUGGAACUACAUGUGUAGCGGUAAAAUGCGUAAAUAUAUGUAAGAACACCGGUGGCGAAGGCGGCCGCCUGGCCUGUUACUGACGCUGAGGCACGAAAGCGUGGGGAGCAAAUAGG